rnacentral:rRNA from 1 species
UACGUAGGUGGCGGGCGUCGUCCGGAUUUACUGGGCGUAAAGGGAGCGUAGGCGGACUUUUAAGUGAGAUGUGAAAUACUCGGGCUCAACUUGAGUGCUGCAUUUCAAACUGGGAGACUUGAGUGCAGAAGAGGAGAGUGGAACUCCAUGUGUAGCGGUGAAAUGCGUAGAUAUAUGGAAGAACACCAGUGGCGAAAGCGGCUCUCUGGUCUGUAACUGACGCUGAGGUUCGAAAGCGUGGGUAGCAAACAGG